rnacentral:rRNA from 1 species
GUGCCAGCAGCCGCGGUAAUACGGAGGGUGCAAGCGUUAUCCGGAUUCACUGGGUUUAAAGGGUGCGUAGGCGGGUUGAUAAGUCAGUGGUGAAAGCCUGCAGCUUAACUGUAGAAUCGCCGUUGAUACUGUCAAUCUUGAAUAUAGACGAAGUGGGCGGAAUGUGCAGUGUAGUGGUGAAAUGCUUAGAUAUUGCACAGAACACCAAUUGCGUAGGCAGCUUGCUAGACUAUUAUUGACGCUGAGGCACGAAAGCAUGGGGAUCAAACAGGAUUAGAUACCCUGGUAGUCCAUGCCCUAAACGAUGAUUACUCGAUCUUGGCGAUACACUGUCAGGGUCUAAGCGAAAGCGUUAAGUAAUCCACCUGGGAAGUACGACCGCAAGGUUGAA